rnacentral:rRNA from 1 species
GACAGAGGGUGCAAACGUUGCUCGGAAUUACUGGGCGUAAAGCGCGUGUAGGCGGACUGGUGUGUCGGAUGUGAAAUCCCCAGGCUCAACCUGGGAACUGCAUUCGAAACUGCCAGCCUUGAGUGGUGGAGAGGGAAGUGGAAUUCCUGGUGUAGAGGUGAAAUUCGUAGAUAUCAGGAGGAACACCAGAGGCGAAGGCGGCUUCCUGGACACCAACUGACGCUGAGACGCGAAAGCGUGGGGAGCAAACAGG